UUGAAACCAUUGUUUCUUUGGAUGCUUGGUUUACCUUUGGGUUUCACAACAGAAUAACCUAAUAAAUAAGGGUGAAUAGAAUUGUUACUAUAGCAAUCCCCAUGGUAACAUCCAGAUGCCAGGCAACUCGCCCUUCCAGACCUCUGGAGGCAUUCGCCUAGUGCGACCCAUGUUUCAGGCAGUCGCAAGAUGAGGUGACCGAAGCAGCCUGAACUGCCCCAACUGGUAUCCCCAAGGAUGCUCGAGUUUCUAGUGGGUGACUUGCACUGGAGACGGUAGCUAGUGUUGAUUUGAUCAAGAAGUUUGCCUAAUGGGUGAGGUCAUCCAGUGGCAGGAACUGAGAAGACAGAGCCGGCUCUCCCGCAGAAUGAAGUGUGAGGAGGGGCUUCUGCAAAGGUCUUCCAGAGAAUCUAACACAUCCAGAAAGACUUGGGAGGAGCCAGCCACCCCUGGAUGCCCACCACAUAGAGAUGUCACCGUCGAGCUAGAGAAAUAGUUGUGUGCUAAGAAAGAAUAUUGCCACUGCCUCCAUAUAAUGAAGUAAGGCUUGAUGUGGCUUCAGUAUCACUCGUGUGACAGCGGCAGAACUGAGCCUUGAACCCCAGUCUGUGAGCUCGCAAACCCCAAAGACUUAUAGUCACUGAGAGGUGCUAAGCUGCGGAGGCCGGCCUUUGCUGUUUAAUGUCUCGAGUAUCUAGAGCAAGGGUUCUCCGUGAUUCGUUGCUGCUCAGAACAGCCAAACAGACAUGUGUGGGUCAUUCUGAACAUACUUGGAAAUUUCUCGAAUCUCAAGAAAGAUCUGUUUUCCGCGCUGCGUUGGCAACACAGUUGGAAAGUUACUUGAAUGUUUUUCAAAAAUUGUUUAUAGAUUUGAAAACUGUUUGGGGUUUGUGAUUGCUUCUGUUGUUUGCCUCUUUGUAUCAUCUCGUUUUUCAAAAUUUAAUAAACACUUUGCAGAGGAGCAAAAUAAUUGGUCA